rnacentral:lncRNA from 1 species
CUCGGAUAGUUUUGGUUGAUAGGAAAACUCACAUCCUUGGCUCUUUGCAAAACAUCAAGAUGGCAAGAACUGCCACUUGAGGGCGAGUGGUAAAAGAGGCCUAUAAUCCCAGCACUUGGGAGGCUGAGACAGUAGGAUCGCCGUCAGUUAGAGGCCAGCCUGAACCACAUAGACACACAGUCUCAGAAAAUGCUACCAUUUGUAACCUCAUCUUGGGAAAUCCUUUGAGCAGUUUUUGAGCUGUGGCUAGGUAGAUGAGCAGAUCGGUUUUGAUUUCAAAUUUGGACUACGAAGAAAAAUAUAUACCCUGCAGGUGGUUACACACAAAACCCUGUAAAGAAUAUCUCACUCGCUGCAGCCUGGAUCCUUUCUUCCAUUCUCAAAAGCAGCAUAAACAGCAGGAAAAGGUUUAAUAGCAUUCAUAUUCAAUUUUUAGGACAAUUUAAAUAUCAAAAUGGAAAGUACAAUGUAUUACAUUUUCCAUCUCAUAUCACAUGUAGCAAUUUUGCAAUUUAAAAUACUGUUAGAGGAAAUUACCUGAAAUAGUUUGAUACGCAUUUUAAAUUUCUGAGUGUUUCUCUCUACAUUGGUUUUUGUUUGAUAUACUCGUUACAUAGCCCAAAUAUGCCUCUAACUGCUUCGGGCUGCCAGUGCUGAGAUUAGAAACGUGCGCUACGAAACCCAGGUUUUCUGUAAAUUGUAUUUUAAAAAUUAUCUUUAAACUCUCUCAAACCCAUUUACCUUUGUCAGCAAGCGAACCUGGUACGCUCGCUGCUCGGGAUUUUAAAAUCUAUACUGAAACCCGCGGUUCUUUUGUUCCACUAUGAAAAAAAUGGCCACUUUCUGGACGUUUUACGCAGUAAGGAGAAACGACAUCGAAACCAUGGGCAACAACGGAGAUUAAGUUCUUUCUCUUUCCCCACGCUCAGAGAUCCUUCCAUGAAGAUCUUUGCAGAACAAAAACCGUUCUCAAAAAAACCUUCAAAAUCUGCAUCACAAGUGAAGUUAAAAAGCGUAAUUGUAAAAUUCAAUAAAAACACAAAAUGUUACAAACAUCAGUUUAAGCAAAGAAAAAAUAACAAGUCUGUCGACCAACAAAAAACUCAACCACCAUUAACGAAAAAUUAGAACUCACCAAAAUAAAGAGUUAUUACAGUAACACAACAGUCCCCGUAUUCAAUCACCAUCUCAGCAACAGUCUGUUAUUAACUGACAAAUCGCCAGGGGAGAGCGCGAACGCAGUCCCCCACUACCACAAAUUAUGCAGUCGAGUUUCCCACAUUUGGGGAAAUCGCAGGGGUCAGCACAUCCGGAGUGCAAUGGAUAAGCCUCGCCCUGGGAAAACCACCUUCGUGAUCAUGGUAUCUCCCCUGCCAGGUAAGUAUGAGGCUUGGUCUCGCCGCCCCAACGGAGCCAUCCAC